rnacentral:pre_miRNA from 1 species
AGCCUUCUAUAUCCGUGCUGAGAUUUCGUCACAUACCACACCACAAGGGCUGACGAGACCCCCAAGAUAAGUGAAGUG